GGCUCCGUGGUGUAGUGGCCAAACAUGCGAUCCUGUCAAGGUCGAGAACGCGGGUUCGAAUCCCGUCGGAGCCGCCA
rnacentral:tRNA from 1 species